UGAAUAUUAUGUUGGAGUGCUCUUUGAAGAUAGGAUACAAGAUUGUUGAUAAGCUUGUAGGUGUUGUUCCUCUCAAGUUUUACUGAUAAGUUAGGUGGAUUCAAUAUUAGGGAAUGUAGGAAACCAGUAAACAACACUCAACAUUGGAAUCCAAGUAGGUGGAUUAGUUAUCAAUGGAUUUAUCCAAAAUUGAACUCAACUGGAGGCUGUUGAGACUGUUUCAUGUUGUAAUUGGAACUUAUGAGAGUCUAAAAAGUCUUGAUAGUUUAUAAUAACUUAUUAUCCUCGCAACUAUAAGAAUUGUAAUUGUUUGUAAUGAACUUUCUUACAUACAUGCAAGGUGAGAGUAAAAUCCAU
rnacentral:lncRNA from 1 species